rnacentral:rRNA from 1 species
AGUAACACGUGGGAAACCUGCCCAGAAGCGGGGGAUAACACCUGGAAACAGAUGCUAAUACCGCAUAACAACUUGGACCGCAUGGUCCGAGUUUGAAAGAUGGCUUCGGCUAUCACUUUUGGAUGGUCCCGCGGCGUAUUAGCUAGAUGGUGGGGUAGCGGCUCACCAUGGCAAUGAUACGUAGCCGACCUGAGAGGGUAAUCGGCCACAUUGGGACUGAGACACGGCCCAA